rnacentral:lncRNA from 1 species
GGCAGGAAGAAGCGAGGCAGCAGCUCUCGGGAAUCUUGUCCUCUCCUAGGCUGAGGACUAUGCAGGGUUUAGGAGCAUGGAGUCCAAUCCUCCCGGCUCUAAGCAGGACCCAGCCAGCCUGCUCUACCCAGAGCCUUCCUUAGCUACUCCCAGCCACGCAAUGUCAAUCACAACCUCCUGCCUCUCCGGCAGGCCAGCUUUCAGAGAGAGCUGGCCGCUGCUUCUGGGGGCUUUGCGAGGAACAGCUGGCAAAUUCUCCUUCCUGCUGAGGGCCCCUCUGCUUGGAUCCUCAGCCGACAGGACUCCAUCUGCUG